AAUUUGACCUCGGAUCAGGUAGGAAUACCCGCUGAACUUAAGCAUAUCAAUAAGCGGAGGAAAAGAAACCAACAGGGAUUGCCCUAGUAACGGCGAGUGAAGCGAGCAACAGCUCAAAUUUGAAAUUCAGUGUCUCGGCCCGAGUUG
rnacentral:rRNA from 1 species